UUCCACGCGUACCCAUCCCGAACACGACCGUUAAGACCUCCAGCGCCGAUGGUACUUGGACCGAAGGGUCCUGGGAGAGUAGGACGUUGCCAAGC
rnacentral:rRNA from 1 species